UACGUAGGUGGCGAGCGUUGUCCGGAUUUACUGGGCGUAAAGCGCGCGCAGGCGGUUCGUUAAGUCCGGUGUGAAAGCUCCCGGCUCAACUGGGAGAGGUCAUUGGAUACUGGCGGACUUGAGGGAUGCAGAGGAAGGUGGAAUUCCCGGUGUAGUGGUGAAAUGCGUAGAGAUCGGGAGGAACACCAGUGGCGAAGGCGGCCUUCUGGGCAUUUCCUGACGCUGAGGCGCGAAAGCGUGGGUAGCGAACAGG
rnacentral:rRNA from 1 species